CCUACGGGCGGCAGCAGUGGGGAAUAUUGGACAAUGGGGGGAACCCUGAUCCAGCCAUGCCGCGUGUGUGAAGAAGGCCCUCGGGUUGUAAAGCACUUUCAGUGAGGAAGAACGCCUGGUGGUUAAUACCCAUCAGGAAAGACAUCACUCACAGAAGAAGCACCGGCUAACUCCGUGCCAGCAGCCGCGGUAAUACGGAGGGUGCGAGCGUUAAUCGGAAUUACUGGGCGUAAAGCGCGCGUAGGUGGCUUGAUAAGCCGGUUGUGAAAGCCACGGGCUCAACCUGGGAACGGCAUCCGGAACUGUCAAGCUAGAGUGCAGGAGAGGAAGGUAGAAUUCCCGGUGUAGCGGUGAAAUGCGUAGAGAUCGGGAGGAAUACCAGUGGCGAAGGCGGCCUUCUGGACUGACACUGACACUGAGGUGCGAAAGCGUGGGUAGCAAACAGGAUUAGAUACCCGGGUAGUC
rnacentral:rRNA from 1 species